UACAGAGGUCCCAAGCGUUGUUCGGAUUCACUGGGCGUAAAGAGCGUGUAGGCGGCCAGGUAGGUCCGUUGUGAAAACUCGAGGCUCAACCUCGAGACGCCGAUGGAAACCAUCUGGCUAGAGUCCGGAGGAGGAGAGUGGAAUUCCUGGUGUAGCGGUGAAAUGCGCAGAUAUCAGGAAGAACACCCGUGGCUAAGGCGGCUCUCUAGUACGGUACUGACGCUGAGACGCGAAAGCGUGGGGAGCAAACAGG
rnacentral:rRNA from 1 species